ACUCCUACGGGAGGCAGCAGUAGGGAAUCUUCCGCAAUGGACGAAAGUCUGACGGAGCAACGCCGCGUGAGCGNUGAAGGCCUUCGGGUCGUAAAGCUCUGUUGUUAGGGAAGAACAAGUAUCGGAGUAACUGCCGGUACCUUGACGGUACCNAACCAGAAAGCCACGGCUAACUACGUGCCAGCAGCCGCGGUAAU
rnacentral:rRNA from 1 species